rnacentral:rRNA from 1 species
GUAGGUGGCAAGCGUUGUCCGGAAUUAUUGGGCGUAAAGCGCGCGCAGGCGGUUCUUUAAGUCUGAUGUGAAAGCCCACGGCUCAACCGUGGAGGGUCAUUGGAAACUGGAGAACUUGAGUACAGAAGAGGAAAGCGGAAUUCCACGUGUAGCGGUGAAAUGCGUAGAGAUGUGGAGGAACACCAGUGGCGAAGGCGGCUUUCUGGUCUGUAACUGACGCUGAGGCGCGAAAGCGUGGGGAGCAAACCGGGAUUAGAUACCCUGGCAGUCCACGCCGUAAACGAUGAGUGCUAAGUGUUAGGGGGGUUUCCGCCCCCUUAGUGCUGCAGCUAACGCAUUAAGCACUCCGCCUGGGGAGUACGGCCGCAAGGCUG